rfam:Triticum aestivum genome assembly, contig: Triticum_aestivum_CS42_TGACv1_scaffold_272774_3DS
AUACUAAUUCCUCCGUCCAGAAAUAUUUGUUGAAGAAAUAGGUGUAUCUAAACGUAUUUUAGUUGUAGAUACAUCCAUUUUUAUCUAUUUCUCUAACAAGUAUUCUCAGACGGAGGGAGUAGUAG